AUGGCCAUAUCACAUUGAAACACCGGUUUUAGUUUGAUCACUGAAGUUAAGCAACAUCAAGUCUAGCCAGUACCUAGAUGAGUGACCACUUUGGAAUACCAGGUGCUGUAAG